UGCUCGACUAUUCAUCUUCAA
rnacentral:piRNA from 1 species